UACGUAGGUGGCAAGCGUUGUCCGGAUUUAUUGGGUUUAAAGGGUGCGUAGGCGGCUUUGUAAGUCAGUGGUGAAAUAUGGCAGCUCAACUGUCAAGGUGCCAUUGAUACUGCAGAGCUUGAGUACAGAUGAGGUAGGCGGAAUCGACGGUGUAGCGGUGAAAUGCUUAGAUAUCGUCAAGAACACCUAUAGCGAAGGCAGCUUACUAGGCUGUAACUGACGCUGAGGCACGAAAGUGUGGGGAUCAAACAGG
rnacentral:rRNA from 1 species